GAUGAACGCUGGCGGCGUGCCUAAUACAUGCAAGUCGAGCGAACGUACGAGAAGCUUGCUUCUCUGAUGUUAGCGGCGGACGGGUGAGUAACACGUGGAUAACCUACCUAUAAGACUGGGAUAACUUCGGGAAACCGGCGCUAAUACCGGAUGAUAUUUUGAACCGCAUGGUUCAAAAGUGAAAGACGGUCUUGCUGUCACUUAUAGAUGGAUCCGCGCUGCAUUAGCUAGUUGGUAAGGUAACGGCUUACCAAGGCAACGAUGCAUAGCCGACCUGAGAGGGUGAUCGGCCACACUGGAACUGAGACGCGGUCCAGACUCCUACGGGAGGCAGCAGUAGGGAAUCUUCCGCAAUGGGCGAAAGCCUGACGGAGCAACGCCGCGUGAGUGAUGAAGGUAUUCGGAUCGUAAAACUCUGUUAUUAGGGAAGAACAUAUGUGUAAGUAACUGUGCACAUCUUGACGGUACCUAAUCAGAAAGCCACGGCUAACUACGUG
rnacentral:rRNA from 1 species